rnacentral:rRNA from 1 species
AAGUGGAGCAAUCCAUGAGUAUAGUGGCGACCGGGUGAGUAACACGUGACUACCUGCCCUUGAGUGGGGGAUAACCUCGGGAAACCGAGGCUAAUACCGCAUAAUAUCGCAAGAUCAAAGGAGCAAUCCGCUUUUGGAGGGGGUCGCGGCUGAUUAGCUAGUUGGUAAGGUAAUGGCUUACCAAGGCGAAGAUCGGUAUCCGGCCUGAGAGGGCGCACGGACACACUGGAACUGAAACACGGUCCAGACUCCUACGGGAGGCAGCAGUGGGGAAUUUUGCGCAAUGGGGGAAACCCUGACGCAGCAACGCCGCGUGGAGGAUGAAGCCCCUUGGG